UACGUAGGGGGCAAGCGUUGUCCGGAUUCAUUGGGCGUAAAGAGCGUGUAGGCGGCCAGGUAGGUCGGUUGUGAAAACUGGAGGCUCAACCUUCCGACGUCGACCGAAACCCCCUGGCUAGAGUCCGGGAGAGGAGAGUGGAAUUCCUGGUGUAGCGGUGGAAUGCGCAGAUAUCAGGAAGAACGCCCGUGGCGAAAGCGGCUCUCUGGAACGGUACUGACGCUGAGACGCGAAAGCGUGGGGAGCGAACAGG
rnacentral:rRNA from 1 species